AGAACGAACGCUGGCGGCAUGCCUAAUACAUGCAAGUCGAACGAACUCUUCGGAGUUAGUGGCGCACGGGUGCGUAACGCGUGGGAAUCUGCCCCUUGGUUCGGAAUAACAGUUGGAAACGACUGCUAAUACCGGAUGAUGACGAAAGUCCAAAGAUUUAUCGCCAAGGGAUGAGCCCGCGUAGGAUUAGCUAGUUGGUGAGGUAAAGGCUCACCAAGGCAACGAUCCUUAGCUGGUCUGAGAGGAUGAUCAGCCACACUGGGACUGAGACACGGCCCAGACUCCUACGGGAGGCAGCAGUAGGGAAUAUUGGACAAUGGGCGAAAGCCUGAUCCAGCAAUGCCGCGUGAGUGAUGAAGGCCUUAGGGUUGUAAAGCUCUUUACCCGAGUAUGAUAAUGACAGUAUCGGGAAGAAUAAGCCCCGGACUAACCGUCCGCGCCAGCAAGCCGACGU
rnacentral:rRNA from 1 species